rnacentral:misc_RNA from 1 species
AAAGUCGUAACAAGGUUUCCGUAGGUGAACCUGCGGAAGGAUCAUUAGCGAAUAAACUUGUGUGGGUUGUUGCUGACCUCCUUGGAGGUAUGUGCACGCUUGCCAUCGUUUCAUUCCCCUUCCACCUGUGCACUUUUUGUAGACCAGGCUGUCGCUUUUCGGGUUGCUCGCAUCCCGGUUGUAGGACUUGCUCCGGCUGUCCUUGGAUGGUGUGGUCUAUGUCUUUUAUCAACUCUGUAUGUAACCGAAUGUUUGUUCUGGGUUCUAUACCCAUAAAAUCUAUACAACUUUCAACAACGGAUCUCUUGGCUCUC